rnacentral:rRNA from 1 species
AGUGAACGCUGGCGGUAGGCCUAACACAUGCAAGUCGAACGGCAGCACAGUAAGAGCUUGCUCUUACGGGUGGCGAGUGGCGGACGGGUGAGGAAUACAUCGGAAUCUACUUUUUCGUGGGGGAUAACGUAGGGAAACUUACGCUAAUACCGCAUACGACCUACGGGUGAAAGCAGGGGAUCUUCGGACCUUGCGCGAUUGAAUGAGCCGAUGUCGGAUUAGCUAGUUGGCGGGGUAAAGGCCCACCAAGGCGACGAUCCGUAGCUGGUCUGAGAGGAUGAUCAGCCCAACCUGAACUGAGACCACGUCCAGGCCCCUUAGGGAGGGCGCAGGGGGGAAUAUUUGGCAAAGGGCGGAAACCUUGUCCCAGCCAACCGCGUUGGUUGAAGAAGGCUUCCGGGUUGUAAGCCCCUUUUUUGGGAAAGAAAAGCAGCCGGGUAAUACCCCGCUGUUCCGACGGUACCCAAAGAAUAAGCACCGGCUAACUUCGUG